rnacentral:antisense_RNA from 1 species
GGAAGUAAACUUGUUAACGGUUCUUUGCCUUUUGGGGAGGGGAGACAGCCCAGAGAAGGCUUCGGAGACCCUUGAGUCGGCCAGCGAGCAGGGUUUCUUACUUGAGCGCCUCCACAAAUAAACGCUCCUUCGCUCCUCCGUCGCGUGCGUUUCCCUGGGAUAAUAAGUGGGAAAGUGGUGGCUUUUAUUUUUUUGAGACAGGGUCUCACCGCCGUCGCCCAGGCUGGAUGGAGUGCAGUGGCGCGAUCACGGCUCACUGCAGCCUCGACUUCCCAGGCUUAGAGAUGGGUUUCACCAUGUUUCCCAGCCUUGUCUCAAACUCCUGACCUCAAGUGAUCCGCCGUCUUGGGUCUUCGAAAGUGCUGGGACAGCAGGAGUGAGCCACCGCAUCUGGCCCGGAAAGUGUUUUGGAGCGUAGAAAAAUGCAAAUUAUAGGGCUGCCUUCAAGGAUCCCGAAGGACCCACAGAUUUGCCGCAUCAGGCUCCUAUGCACGCCGAAAUGCCCAGGAGGAUUGACGAGAUUGAGGUCAAGAUCGUGGCCCAGUGUGUGGCGCUCCAAGCCAGCUCUUCCCCUUUCAAAACCAGAAAAGCCGCAUGUUUAGAUGCUCUAGGAGAUUCAUCUGCAUUACAAUACAGGCUAUGGGCUGUUUGAAAACUAUUUCAUCAUCUUUAUCAUCAUCAUUCAGUUCAGCCACUUGAGAUUUUCGCCUCUCCAAAAAUGUUGGUGUACAAACUGGUGUGGGGCCCUGGAUUCAACAAGUAAAGAUUAUAAUACAUAAAUGUAAAACAUGAUUAUGACUUUACCCAAAAAUAUCAUCUCUCCUCUAUUUUUACAAGUUGUGCCCCAUUAUUUUAGCUCUGUUACCAUCUUUUGGUGAUACUACUGCAAAGAAUAAAGAACUUAGAUGCUUAUCAAACUUGGUACAGAAAUUCACAAUUAACAAAUAUAGCAUGUUCCAUUAUAAGGUUUUAGGCAGAAAAUUGCUAAAUCAACAAUAAAGAUCUACCAAAUGUCACAAUAUUUAAUUUGAAAUCUUAAAAUGAGAGUAGCAGAAACUGCUUUUCCUCCUUCAAAUUAUUUCUAUAAUAUCUGGUGUCUGGAGUAUUGAAAACCAUUUUACCUGGCUAUCCACAGUCUUCUCAGGAGUGUCAAGAGUACCUGAAACUUUUUUCUUCUUCUUACGUAAAACCUUAAAUUUUAAAACACAUCAAUUUGAAUAUUGAUCAGCUAUAGCAGUCUUGAAUAUGUUUUCCUACUUAUCCUUCUCUAAUAUCUUGCAUGUAAAAUGAUAAAAAAUAUUUUACCUGGC